GGACGAACGCUGGCGGCGUGCUUAACACAUGCAAGUCGAACGGAAAGGCCCCUUUGGGGGUACUCGAGUGGCGAACGGGUGGGUAACACGUGAGUAACCUGCCCUUUACUUCGGGAUAACUUCAGGAAACUGGGGCUAAUACCGGAUAGGAAUCCUUGCUGCAUGGUGGGGUUUGGAAAGCUUCGGCGGUUUUGGAUGGACUCGCGGCUUAUCCGCUUGUUGGUGGGGUAGUGGCUUACCAAGGCUUUGACGGGUAGCCGGCCUGAGAGGGCGACCGGCCACAUUGGGACUGAGAGACGGCCCAGACUCCUACGGGAGGCAGCAGUGGGGAAUAUUGCACAAUGGGCGGAAGCCUGAUGCAGCAACGCCGCGUGCGGGAUGACGGCCUUCGGGUUGUAAACCGCUUUCAGCAGGGGCGAAGCUUGUGGUGACGGUACCUGCAGAAGAAGCACCGGCUAACUACGUG
rnacentral:rRNA from 1 species